GCGCCCGUAGCUCAUCUGGAUAGAGUACCUGGCUACGAACCAGGGGGAGGAGGUUUGAAACCUUACCGGCGCGCCA
rnacentral:tRNA from 1 species